rnacentral:rRNA from 1 species
GCUUAGCCCUAAACAUAAAUACUCAAUAAACAAGGUAUUCGCCAGAGUACUACUAGCAACAGCCUAAAACUCAAAGGACUUGGCGGUGCUUUACACCCCUCUAGAGGAGCCUGUUCUAUAAUCGAUAAACCCCGCUUAACCUUACCACCCCUUGCAACAUCAGCCUAUAUACCGCCAUCUUCAGCAAACCCUAUUAAGGUAGUAUAGUAAGCACAAUAAUUUAACACUAAUACGUUAGGUCAAGGUGUAGCCUAUGAGGUGGGAAGAAAUGGGCUACAUUUUCUACUCUACUAGAACAACACUCACGAUAACUUUCAUGAAACACUGAAAGUCAAAGGCGGAUUUAGUAGUAAGUUAGGAAUAGAGAGCCUAACUGAAUAGGGCAAUAAAGC